UACGUAGGGGGCAAGCGUUGUCCGGAUUUACUGGGCGUAAAGAGCGCGCAGGCGGUCAGAUAAGUCGAAUGUGAAAGCCCCCGGCUCAACUGGGGAGGGUCAUUCGAUACUGUUCGACUCGAAGGCAGGAGAGGGAAGUGGAAUUCCCGGUGUAGUGGUGAAAUGCGUAGAUAUUGGGAGGAACACCAGUGGCGAAGGCGACUUCCUGGCCUGUUCUUGACGCUGAGGCGCGAAAGCUAGGGGAGCAAACGGG
rnacentral:rRNA from 1 species